rnacentral:lncRNA from 1 species
UACUGGUCAAGUUUACUUAUGUCACACAUUGUACCAGUUCCCGUCUAAUCUUAAAUGUUAUGUGUUCUGAAAAGUACACUCUAUGUGAUGAGGUAUUACAAUCCUGGUAUGCUUUGAGCAAAUGAUUUUUCCUGUUUUAAUCUCAAAAGAAUGUCUGUGUAAGUGCAAAUGUCAGAAAAUGUUGCUGGGAAGUAAAGAGAAACAGUAAAGCUAAAAAUUUAGUAAGCCUAAAACAGCAAAAUAUGUUUCCUUCAAGAUCAUUGCAAAGAAAUGUUGAAAAUUAUGUGCAGGAUCACUUUUGUUUGUGCUGUCAUGGUCCACAGAAAUAUGAGUGAAAUUAUUUCUGACUGUUUGGACCUUUAUCUCUUUUGCUUAAUGGAAUAAAACAGUCUGCAUAGACUGGCGUGCUCAGGAACAAGCAGACGGUCAUACUUCUUAAAUUCAUUUUCCUCAGGAAUAUUGAGUGCCUUUCAUGUUGGUUUAAGUUGUCAGUGGCUACCUUCAAGUCUUCACAGAUGGCACCUGUGUUUUCCAUCACCAGUAAGUGGUGGACCGGUGAAAUAUUUCUUUAUAAUGUACUGAUAUUUUCCCCUUCAAGCAGUGGUCUAGGUGCUAGUCAUUGUAUGUCACUCAUUCUGCAAAUCUGUGGGGUAUGUUUUUUGAUCUUAGAAGAGACAUAUUUGGCAGUGAAUGAAAAAGAAGCAAAUGCUGUUUUUCUUUUACAAAAAAUCACGAAAAUUGCAAGGCUCUUGCUGCUUAGUUCUUGGAUCUGUGUACCAUUUUAGGUGAGUAUCAUUUGAUGUGUUCAGCUCAAAGAAACUUUUUACAAAUACAUCAACCUAAGUUUAGCAUAUGUUGUGAUAAAAUUCUGGGGCACUUUUCUGGAAGCAUUAGCUUUUAAGGAAUAGUGUACCUUCUCUCUCCUGAAUUAGAAGAUGAGUAUACUGGUAGGUAACAUUCAGAUAUCAUUUCAGAAGCAAGUGAUAGAAAUACUGCAAAAAGUGGCAUACGUAAACUGUUUACUUUUAGUUAUAAUACUGAUGUCACAAAAAAUUUGAAUCUAG